rnacentral:lncRNA from 1 species
AAAUUAUUAAAAUCAUAUUUACGAUCAACGAUAUUACAAGAAAGAUUAAAUGGUUUAGCUAUACUAUCUAUCGAAGAAGAAUUAUUGUCAAAUAUCGAUUAUAAAGAAAUUAUAAAAAAUUUUGCAUUAUAAAAUGCACGUAGAUUAAUUUUUUAAUGAUAAUUAAUAUUUAAAAUAUGUUAAUUUUUAAUAGAGAAUGUCUCAUUUUUUUAUUUGAUCCUAAGUCUAAAAAAUAUCAGGAUCGAUCCUGUUUGCAUUAUGAGU